UUCAUUUUAACAGUCUCACGCCCAUCCUUGUUCAAUCCCAACACUUCUGCUUUUACAUUGGUUGGUAUUUUAAUUCUUUUACAAAUACAGCCAAUCAUACAGUCUGUGGUUAAUGUUGCUUUUAAGAUUGGCUUAGGAUUCUAUGGUAGGAACAGUAGUGAAUGCUGUCGUGAGCGUCAAGGAUCUUUCUGAAAAGUUCUGACAUUCAGUCUUACUGUUUUUAGGGAGGAGUGAGGAUUUCCGCUCUGUUUCAAACUCAGUAAGUAGUCUAGGCUGGCCUUGAACUCUUGUCCUCCACACCCCAGCCUGCUUAAUACUAGCAUUAUAAGCAUGUGCUACAGUCACCCAUGGAAGAUAUAGAAUGUAGACUUUUUCUCCUCUUUAAUUUAGUCUCAGACUGCUGCAUGUCCUAACAUAAGGACUCAGUACAAUAAAUACACAAUUAAAGGACAGUGAGUGGGUCAGGUGCUUGUGUGUUGAGCCUAACAAGCUAUCUGGUCCUUUGGACCCAAACGUCUUGGAGAGACCUGAUUCCUGAUAGUCGUUUUCUUACCUCAGCACUACACACCGGUGCGGACCGCAGGCAAGCACCUGCGCACCCAAAGGAAAGGGCGGGGCCCAGAGAUCCCCUACUCCGUCAACGCCAGAGACUGAGUGCUCAGCCCUUACUGGGACACCUGCAUAAAACAACCCCGCCCCAGGCUCAGAGAAGACAGCAGAAGAGGAAACGGAAAGACUAGAAAGGCCAGGGGAUGGAGCGGAGCAGUGAGACGCACUUUCUGCACAAGACGCGGCUAGGUCAGUCAUCUGAGCAGCUUUGUGGGAGGAGGAAUGACGUUUGUAGCAAAGCCUGUCAGGCGCUGUAGACAAAUACACAGAACCCACAUCAGACAUGUUUCCACUGUUGCUGGAAUAUGAAGAUGUAGAACUCUCGGCUCUGCUUGCGCUUUGCCUGCCUGGACGCUGCCGUGUUCCCACCUUGAUGAUAAUGGACUGAACCUCUAAAUCUGUAAGGCAGCAACCAAUUAAAUGUUAUAACCAAUAA